UCGGACCUGUUGGUGGGAUCCUCCUGGUUCUUCUUCUGGUGUUACUGUGGUACUACAGGCGGUCCAACGAUUUUCGCUGCCCCGGGUGGAAACUGUCAAAAAUCAGCUGUGGAGUAAAUAAUGGAUUAAACAAGAAUGACACUGAUGAGAGA